GUCCAUGGGAUGGUGUUUAAACAAAUUUAUUUUAAAUUUCAGAGGACAGAUUACAUUAGUUGACAUCAGCAUUACACUCACCUGGUCAUUCUGUCUCUUUAAAACAGUACUGUGAAGUUGAUUGGAAAUUUCAUCUUCUCCCUAUUUGAGACUCAUUUGAUAUUAUUUGCUGCUUCACCACUCAGUGUUAGUGUCCCUGAGGCCUGCCUUGCACUACUUUCUCUAUCUAAAAUAUUCACAUGCCUGUAACUGAAUUCAAGGAAAACAAAGCCUGGGGCUAGAAGGAAGUGUAGGAAUCCAAGGAGAAAUAUCCGUGGUAGAUUUCAAUUAAGAAGCUCUGGCAUUAAGCAAAAUAGGUGAAGAAGCUUUACACGUCGUUUCCCUUUUGAGUCGCUCAGCCAAAUUCAUCAGUGUAAAGGAAGAGUUAAAGAAGUACUCAAACCCAAGAGCCCUUUAAAGAAACAACAUAGGAGUCAGUGAGUGAGUGGGGGAAGCAGCCAAGAUGGACAAACAAGAACAGCUCUGGUCUACAGCUCCCAGCAUGAGCGACGCAGAAGACAGGUGAUUCCUGCAUUUCCAUCUGAGGAAGGACCUCAGGAAACCUGCCCAGCAAUCAUAAAUGCUGCUUUCAUCCUGCAAGUGAUCUUACUUUGCAUGCCACUGAGCCACAGGUUCAUGAGCAAGAGAGUAGAAGUGAAUUUUAUUCUGAUCUUGUCUAGACUGAAGCUGGCACCAUAUUCAAUUAAGAGAAGGAAAUGGCACUCAUGUUUUCUGAAUUCCAAGGCUCAGGACUUUCAGUUUAUACAGACUUCGUCCUGUGUGGCUGUGGACUACAAAUAUGCCCCUCUAGCAGCUUUCACCUAACUGGGCUCAGGGCAGAGCCUUUUCUCAUAGUCCAGAACUGACUACUCUGGCUUGUCUGCCUCUGUUGCUGGGAUGCUGUUACUCUGUGUAGGAAGCAGGAAUUGAGCACUAUCCUUCAUGCAAGAACUAGCUGCACAAACUCACUUUCAACUGGGAUAGAACUGCCACAGGAAGGGCUGGAAUGGCUUUCUCCAAGUGCAUACAUCCACCCCCAGUGAGAAGAGUCUCUGCUGUGUUUGCAACAGUGAACAAGGAAAGCAUGGAGAUGACCCCGUCUCCUUGCCCUUGACAUUCCUACAUUGAUUGUCAAGGUGUUGAAAUUUCCACCAUGUAGUUUUUUCUCCACACUCACAGAGAGGCUCACGGUAAACCUCCUAAAGCAUCUUAUUAAAAGAGAAACGCUACAGCCAUAGUCACAGAUGAGCUCUGGUGACUAAAAUCCCACCUACCACUACUUGACUGUUGCGGUCCCUGAAGCCUACAAAAUCGCAGAAUGAUUGCUGGUUCUCAAACCUCUAGGUUACUUUAUGAUUGGGAAUUUUACAUAUAUCCAUUGCCUGAAAUGCCCUUAGCAUCUAUUACCCUUUGAGACUUAGCUUCAAUAUCAAGUAAUGAAGCCUUUCUUAAGUACCUAGAGAAAAUCAGUUUUCCGGUCUUUCAUGCUACCUUUGUACACACAGCUUUCUGUUGUUACCUUUUCAAAUCAAUCAUUUCACCAUUAUUUCUCUAUGCAUUCAUUCAUUAUUUCAACAAAUAUUUAUCGGGUGUUUAAUAUGUUUAUAGCCAUGUGCUAAGCACUGAGGUUAUACUUUGUCGUGACUCCAUGGUUAAACUCCACAGGGACAAGAUCCACACAAAUAUUCUGUGUGAAGGACACAUAAAUAGUUUGGGGGUACAUCAUGCCUAUGACUGAUAUGAAGAAGGUGUAAACAAAUGUAUAUUGAAUUAAAGAAUACCUUAAAUAUUUGUUUGUAAGAGAUAUAGUUUUAGGAUUUGUUACAAUAGUUAGAAAAGGGUUUCAUGAAUAUGGAAUGAAAGCUUAGACUGCAACUGUUUUACAAAGCGCUUUUAAAAGUAACUACUAAAAUAAUCUAGUAACACUUUUAGAGUCAUUUAGAAAAGAAUAAAAUAAUCUUAGCCUAGCUAACAGGAUGUUCCAAUAAAACUAUUGUGAAGUGGUAGGACUCUUGAUUAUGGUGAGAAUGGGUCAGAAUGGAUGAAUCAACACAUUUGUGUAAAGAAUAAUAUCUAGAAAUGAUGACAAUGUAUAUUUGAAAGAAAAGAGUAUUAAAAAUGUCUUUAAAUUUUCCAAUUUGUUGUACUCAUAGGAAAAUAGGAGGUGAAAAUGAAAUACUUAGAGAUGGUGUCUUAAUUUAUUUCAAGAAUUUGAGGUAAAAAGGAACUGCUCUGCCCUGUUAAUAUGUGAGAUGAGCAAUUUAGGAGGGAGGUCAGACUGGAAAAGUGAAUUUACUGAACACCAUGAUAGUCAUGUUGUUUAAUGACUUAAGAAUAGACAGUAAAAGAGGUUCUCCUAUCAUAGCCCUACAUCCUCUGGAAAUACAUGCUACAUUAAAAUUUAUAUUUCUAUUUCCAUAUGCUUGGUAUGACUAAUGGCAGAAACUGUGAAGAAUCCUAGGAGAAAAAUGGUCUGCAUUUGCUUCAGACUUAUUGCAAAGUGUAUGUAUGAAGGAAAACAUUACUUCUAAUUCUACCAGACCAUCACCUGCAUGAGUCCCUGUGAUGCUUCCCAAAUCCAUCCAAAUGCUUAACUGAAGCUUGAAUUUAUUAUUUUCAAGUUCGAUGUAAAAGUUCUUCUUUUUAAACUUGACACUGUAUACUGUGGCUUAAAUAUUUAAGCAAGGCUCUUUCGAAGAUUGAGGAAGAAACACUCACACAUCAAAAGUAUCUAAUGUUUAAUUCAGCGAGGUAAGCUUUCUCAAACUCUGAAGCUUAUGUGAAGCUGUUUGGAAUUUUUUCAAAGGUCUUUUAUCUCUAAAUCAAAACAGAAUUUUUUUUAAAAAAAUUAUAAUAAUUCUUCAAAACAGAAAUAACUUCUGUCAGAGUUCUUUGGUUUCUACCUAAAAGAAACAGUUACGUGGCAAUUGUUUAUUUAUUUCUACAUGAACCCAACAUGUUCAAAUUCUAAAAGAUUUAGACAAGCUUGCUUCAGUCAUACAUAAAGAUUUUGAAAACUUAUUAUUCAAGCCAACUAAGAUUCUUGCUAGAAAACUCAAACAAAGAACAAUAAUUGGUUUGAAAACUGCAGAAUAUACUUUGUAGAUUAUGACUCUUCAUUGAUAAACAGAUAAGUAAACACCCACAAAUCAAUAUGUAAACAAUAGAACUGGCUAUUAAGUUUUUGCUAAAAGAUCUUCCUUGAGAGAGUUUAUAGAAUUUGCUAAUUUUUUCUUUUUUGUCUUAUUUAAUGUUAGUUAUCAAAGCCAAGUCUUCCCAGACCCUUACUAAUUAAUCUCAACAAUUUGUUUUUGAAAUUUUGAAAACAUAGAAAUAUUAGGAGAAUCUCCACUGGAGUGAUUCAAGAGAGUUCUAAAACAUGGAGACUGACAAAAACAUUCAGAUAGAAAUCUGCAGUUAAUAGUAAUAAAAUGACGGCAGUCACUGUGAUGAUAUGAUAAUUGUGAUGAUUAGGCUGCUGGUUUGGAAUCCUGGAUAAAUCUCUUAAACUAGCUUUAUGGCUUUUAGCAAGUUAUGUAACCUUUGAAAUAUUCACCUGGUUUUUAAAACCACAUUCUGUGGAUGUAAGAUCUAAAUAAGAUAACCCAUAUAAAUAAUGUAGUAUGUCUCGCACAUACUAAGCGCAUGCUAAGACUUUCCCCAUGCUUUCUUUUUUUUGGCUUCUUUUAUUAUUAUUAUUAUUAUUAUACUUUAAAUUCUAGGGUACACUUGCACAACAUCCAUGUUUUAAGUCUCCACCCACUUGUCCUUGAAAAUUCUAAUCUCUUUUGUUUACCAAGGCCAGUGAUAAUGAAGUCUUAUGAUAAAACCUGUUCCUAUAACAUUCCUUCUAGUCAUUACACAUUUUAAUCUCUCGUUUAUUAAGUUAGGUGCCUGUAAUAAUAACAUUUUCUAGAAUAUUUUUUACUGCUUUUAGCAUGGCUAACUUUUUUCACCUUUCCUUCAGUAAAUGCUGCCUCAUUUUAAGGUUUAUUCUGAACACCCA
rnacentral:lncRNA from 10 species